GAGGCUAUAUACAGGGUGUUACGGUACAGAGUCAGUGUGGAGGCUAUAUACAGGGUGUUACGGUACAGAGUCAAUGUGGAGGCUAUAUACAGGGUGUUACGGUACAGAGUCAAUGUGAAGGCUAUAUACGGGGUGCUACGGUACAGAGUCAAUGUGGAGGCUAUAUACAGGGUGUUACGGUACAGAGUCAAUGUGGAGGCUAUAUACAGGGUGUUACGGUACAGAGUCAAUGUGGAGGCUAUAUACAGGGUGUUACGGUACAGAGUCA
ensembl:lncRNA